rnacentral:lncRNA from 1 species
ACUUUUAAAGUAUCACCCCAAAACAUAAAAAAUUAAACAUUGCAUCUUCAAGUAUUACACAUUUUUAUACUUCAUCUACUAGAACAUACUCAAGUUCUCAAUUACUAUGAAUGAAAGACAAUAACGGAAUGCUUUUGAAUCGAGAAGAACUUUUUAAGGACUGUAGGAGUUGGAAAGAUAAGAAUUCUGUAAAUACGAGGGAUACU